rnacentral:misc_RNA from 1 species
GUUUGGUAGAUAAUACCCAUCGCCAAGCCCCUGAGGUACAUUAGCAAUGCUUAUUUAAACAGCUGGGCUGAAUAUUCCCUGUUUAAAUCGAAUGAAAUAGUCACAUUAGUGGGCCACACACGCUACUCCCUCCACUUAUUGUUUCCUACUGCUGUAAAGAUCCCUCAACAUUGAGGUGAAGUUGAUUAACAGUAAGUGAAGGUGACUGAGUGG